GCCUCGGUAGCUCAGCCUAGCUAGAGUCUGUCAAACAGGCGGCUUUAGCGCGACCUUGGUAAGGUCGAGGUCGCGGGUCCGAAUCCCGCCCGAGGCU
rnacentral:tRNA from 1 species